UACGAAGGGGGCUAGCGUUGCUCGGAAUCACUGGGCGUAAAGCGCUCGUAGGCGGACUCUUAAGUCGGGGGUGAAAUCCUGGAGCUCAACUCCAGAACUGCCUUCGAUACUGAGAGUCUCGAGUCCGGGAGAGGUGAGUGGAACUGCGAGUGUAGAGGUGAAAUUCGUAGAUAUUCGCAAGAACACCAGUGGCGAAGGCGGCUCACUGGCCCGGUACUGACGCUGAGGUGCGAAAGCGUGGGGAGCAAACAGG
rnacentral:rRNA from 1 species